rnacentral:rRNA from 1 species
GAUGAACGCUGACAGAAUGCUUAACACAUGCAAGUCAACUUGAAUUUGGGUUUUUAACUUAGGUUUGGGUGGCGGACGGGUGAGUAACGCGUAAAGAACUUGCCUCACAGCUAGGGACAACAUUUGGAAACGAAUGCUAAUACCUAAUAUUAUGAUAAUAGGGCAUCCUAUAAUUAUGAAAGCUAUAAGCGCUGUGAGAGAGCUUUGCGUCCCAUUAGCUAGUUGGAGAGGUAACGGCUCACCAAGGCGACGAUGGGUAGCCGGCCUGAGAGGGUGAUCGGCCACAAGGGGACUGAGACACGGCCCUUACUCCUACGGGAGGCAGCAGUGGGGAAUAUUGGACAAUGGACCGAGAGUCUGAUCCAGCAAUUCUGUGUGCACGAUGAAGUUUUUCGGAAUGUAAAGUGCUUUCAGUUGGGAAGAAACAAAUGACGGUACCAACAGAAGAAGUGACGGCUAAAUACGUG